ensembl:lncRNA
GCCUGAUUUGCAGAGCCAAGAUUUGCACUUGGGUCAGUCUGGCUACAGCUUCCCGUACUUGCUCUCACCCUGACACCUCUGUUUGCCUCUGAACUCUCCUGACAGCAUUACCCAUCGUCCCCAACUAUGGAGAAAUGAGCGCUAGAGCUAGAGUCUGGAGGUCAGGUCUGAGUCUUACUUCUGUCCUGUCCACAUCUGCUGACCUUGAGUGAACCCAUAUUGUUGGCAGUAAAUUGAGACUUGGGUUUGCUGCUCCCACCUAAGCGAACUUUGUUGAUCAAACGUGAUUAGGAGUGCUGGAAGAAUUGGAUCCACUGUGCGGUUAUUGGUGGUGUUCUGGUUGGUGUUUCUAACACCCGAGCCUCAGGGUUACUGUAUUCCUGGACUGGCAUUUGACCUGCAGUGCCUUGUUCUGGCAGCCGGUUUAGUUCAGUUGAUCAGUCGUGUCCGACUCUUUGCGGCCCCAUGGACUACAGCACGCCCGGCUUCCCUGUCCAUCUCCAACUCUCGGAGCUUGCUCAAACUCAUGCCCAUUGAGUCAGUGAUGCCAUCCAACCAUCUCAUCUUCGGUCAUCCCCUUCUCCUCCCACCUUCAAUCUUUCCCAGCAUCAAGGUCUUUUCCAAUG